rnacentral:rRNA from 1 species
GAUGAACGCUAGCUACAGGCUUAACACAUGCAAGUCGAGGGGAAACGACAUCGAAAGCUUGCUUUUGAUGGGCGUCGACCGGCGCACGGGUGAGUAACGCGUAUCCAACCUGCCCACCACUUGGGGAUAACCUUGCGAAAGUAAGACUAAUACCCAAUGAUAUCUCUAGAAGACAUCUGAAAGAGAUUAAAGAUUUAUCGGUGAUGGAAGGGGAUGCGUCUGAUUAGCUUGUUGGCGGGGUAACGGCCCACCAAGGCUACGAUCAGUAGGGGUUCUGAGAGGAAGGUCCCCCACAUUGGAACUGAGACACGGUCCAAACUCCUACGGGAGGCAGCAGUGAGGAAUAUUGGUCAAUGGACGGGAGUCUGAACCAGCCAAGUAGCGUGCAGGAUGACGGCCUUAUGGGUUGUAAACUGCUUUUAUAAGGGAAUAAAGUGAGUCUCGUGAGACUUUUUGCAUGUACCUUAUGAAUAAGGACCGGCUAAUUCCGUGCCAGCCGCCGCCGUAA